GUAGUCUGCAACUCGACUACAUGAAGCUGGAAUCGCUAGUAAUCGCGGAUCAGAAUGCCGCGGUGAAUACGUUCCCGGGUCUUGUACACACCGCCCGUCACACCAUGGGAGUCGAUAACGCCCGAAGUCAGUGACCCAACCUGUAAGGAGGGAGCUGCCGAAGGCGGGAUUGAUAACUGGGGUGAAGUCGUAACAAGGUACC
rnacentral:rRNA from 1 species